ACAUGCAAGGCAAAUGCCCCACCUGCUGUGCUAUCUGUAGCCCCAUUGAUCGUCAGGGUUGAUUCUACUGAUCUGGCUGGCUAGGCUAGGCGGGUGUCCUCUUCCUCCCUCGCCGCUCCAUGUGCGUCCCUCCCGAAGCUGCGCGCUCAGUAGAAGAGGACGGCCUUCCCUGAAUAUAGAUGGACCGGUCUUCGGCCAAGGGUAUACGAGUAUCUGUGCUCCCCUGCUAGAACCUCCAAUCUUCAAAAUGCUCAGAUUUGAAAAAAAAAAAAUAAUGAUGGUUUCGUAUUUAGUCAUGAGAUAACU
rnacentral:snRNA from 1 species